rnacentral:rRNA from 1 species
AGAAUGAACGCUGGCGGCGUGCUUUACACAUGCAAGUCGAGCGAGGCGGAUAGCUUGCUAUCCAGUCGAGCGGCGAACGGGUGAGUAACGCGUGGAUUAUCUGCCCUCAGGUGGGGGAUAACCCGGGGAACUCGGGCUAAUACCGCAUAACAUCUCCGGAUCAAAGGGGGCGCAAGCUCCCGCCAGAGGAGGAGUCCGCGUACGAUUAGCUAGUUGGCAGGGUAAUGGCCUACCAAGGCGACGAUCGUUA